rnacentral:misc_RNA from 1 species
GAUGAAGAACGUAGCAAAAUGCGAUAAGUAAUGUGAAUUGCAGAAUUCAGUGAACCAUCGAAUCUUUGAACGCACAUUGCGCCCGCUGGAACUCCGGCGGGCACGCCUGUCCGAGCGUCAUUUCAACCCUCAGGCCCCCCUUCGCGGGCGGGCCUGGUGUUGGGGCCCGGCCGCUACCCUGCGGCCGUCCCCUAAAUUCAGUGGCGGCCUCGCCGUGAUCCCUUGCGUAGUAAUGCACCUCGCACCGGAGAGCGCCGUGGCCACGCCGUAAAACCCCCAAUUUUCAAUGGUUGACCUCGGAUCAGGUGGGAAUACCCGCUGAACUUAAGCAUAUCAAUAAGCGGAGGA